AGCGAACGCUGGCGGCAGGCCUAACACAUGCAAGUCGAACGAACCCUUCGGGGUUAGUGGCGGACGGGUGAGUAACACGUGGGAACGUGCCUUUAGGUUCGGAAUAACUCAGGGAAACUUGUGCUAAUACCGAAUGUGCCCUUCGGGGGAAAGAUUUAUCGCCUUUAGAGCGGCCCGCGUCUGAUUAGCUAGUUGGUGAGGUAAAGGCUCACCAAGGCUACGAUCAGUAGCUGGUCUGAGAGGAUAAUCAGCCAAAUUGGGACUGAGACACAGCCCAAACUCCUACGGGAGGCAGCAGUGGGGAAUCUUGCGCAAUGGGCGAAAGCCGGACGCAGCCAUGCCGCGUGAAUGAUGAAGGUCUUAGGAUUGUCAAAUUCUUUCACCGGGGACGAUAAUGACGGUACCCGGAGAAGAAGCCCCGGCUAACUUCGUGCCAGCCGCCGCAGUAAGUC
rnacentral:rRNA from 1 species